AGGGUAGUUCAGGUUAUCUUGACGAAUCAAAUUACAACCCAUCUGAGCGGAGCCCUUGCUUCUCAGGCAGACCUGGUGUCUCCAGCUGAUGAUUUGUCCCUGUCUGAAGGCGCCUCGGGACCCAGCUGUGUGGUCGCUGCACUAGGAAACACCUGGAGUCACAGUGUGAACACCCGACUGAUCCUCCAGUACCUUGAUUCAGAGAAAAGACAGGGAGGUCCCUCCAGGUUUGAGAGCCCCAUGGCUGGGCUUCAGGCCUUGUUCCCAGGGAGGCAUUGGAUGACAGAUUCUCAUUGCCAAGUCCCCCCUGGCUCCCGUCACCUCAUUUGUCUAUACCAUCGAGGCAGAAGGCCUGGUUCUUCAAGGGAAAACUUCCUUGUGCCUGUUGGUGUCGGGAGGCCUGGAGCUACACAGCGCGCCCAUGCUGUCUCACACGUCAGCUAUGCAAUAUGUGAGCAAUGGUGAGUCUUGCGGCAAAUGUGAGAGCCACUCACAUCACCAAAGACUACCAAUUUAUGUAAUCGUCUAACUAGAAAAACUACAAGAAGUCAGCUAACAAUAGUAUGCACAGAAGAAGUCUGGAAGGAAAUUUAUUCAGCACCAAUAAUUGUUGUUCCUGCAUGAGAUUAUGAGGUUAUUUGUAUUUUCUUCUUCAUACUCUUUAUAUUUUUCAAAUCUUUGAUAAAUGUCUAUUUCUACACCUGAAAUUUUGAAAACAUCAUUUUGAAAAAGUCUUCGCUGAACUGUUUAAGAGAAAAAACUCAGAGGUUGUUGGUGACAGCAACAAGGUAGGGGAAAGGGUUGGUGGUCUGAAGGAAUGGCCAUCGGAUUUAACCCUCUCCAUGUUGCUGGAACAAAAUGCCGGCACUCACAACUUAAAGGAGGAAAGGUGUAUUUUGGCGUAUGGGUUUUAGAGUCUUUAGUCCAUAGUUGGCUCCAACCAUAGUUGGUUUAGUCCAGUGGCUCCCAGGCAGGAAGGGCAUGUUGGAAAGGUCUGGUGGAGGAAAAGCUGCUCGGGUCUUGGUGGUCAGGAAGAGAUCUGAGAGAGAGGAGCAGAGGAGGGAGAUAUAUACACCAUUUCAGGUCGCAGUCCUGGUAACCUGCCUCUUCCUACCUGGCCCCACUUCCUGAAAGCACACUCACGUCUGUCAGUGGAUUAAUCCCUUAACAAGUGUUGCAUCCCUGUGACACAAUCACCUUCCCAAAGACCCAUUUCUGAAUACAUGAACUUUUGCGGGGCAGGGCUUGUUAGAUCUAAAGCAUAACAGCAUCCAAAGAGCUACAGUCUGUAAAGGAUAAAGGAGGAGUUUGGAAUUAGCGGCGGCAAGCAAGGAAGCCAGUUUCUCUGUCUUCAAACUUUGGGAUUUGUGUGGGCAGUAGUAGAAAAGCAACCCCAUUUUUGAGUGCUGUGGAAAAAUCCACAUCCUCAGGGCCAGUCGGGCUUUAGAUAAAGCCUGAAGAUGAACAGAACAUUCAAAGAAGACAAGGAUUUAGAGGAGUGCUAAAAAGCUCAAUGGGGUGGGUGAAUAUUGGGUCAGAAUCAGUAAUACCACCACCAUUGUUUAUGGCAUCCCCCCCUCGAUCACCCCUGCCACCUCCACUGGAAUGUAAAUCCCAUGAGGAUAAAUAUCUUUGUCUGUUUUGCUCAUGAACGUGUCUCAAGGACUGUAACAGUGCCUGGAACAUUGUAGAUGCUCAAUAAACAUUUUCAAAGUGAAUAAUUGUAACUAAUAUUUAUUGUGCACUAAUGUACCAAGGAUGUUACUAAGUGCUUUAUACGGCUUGGUUGUUCUUGUUUGUUUUUGUUUUGCAGUGCUAGCGGAUUGAACCUAGGGUCUCAUCCAUGCUAUGCAAGUGCUCUACCACCGAGCUACACGCCCAACCCUUACAUGUGUAAUUAUUUUACUGCCCCCAUUUUGUAGCGGAGGACAUUGAGGUCCAGCGACUUAGGUUAAGUAACUUUCCUAAGGUCCCAGGGCUAGCAAGAGAUAGAAUGAAAGGUGAAACACUCUCUAGCUUUGAUUUGAGUGUAAAGC
rnacentral:lncRNA from 1 species